rnacentral:rRNA from 1 species
GACGAACGCUGGCGGCGUGCUUAACACAUGCAAGUCGAACGGUGAAGCGCCUUCCUUUUUGGUUGGUGUGGAUGAGUGGCGAACGGGUGAGUAACACGUGAGUAACCUGCCCCCUUCUUCUGGAUAACCGCAUGAAAGUGUGGCUAAUACGGGAUAUUCUGGGUCUGUCGCAUGAUGGGUCUGGGAAAGAUAUUGUUUCGGUGUGGGAUGGGCUCGCGGCCUAUCAGCUUGUUGGUGGGGUGAUGGCCUACCAAGGCGGUGACGGGUAGCCGGCCUGAGAGGGUGGACGGUCACACUGGGACUGAGACACGGCCCAGACUCCUAAGGGAGGCAGCAGUGGGGAAUAUUGCACAAUGGGCGCAAGCCUGAUGCAGCGACGCCGCGUGAGGGAUGGAGGCCUUCGGGUUGUGAACCUCUUUCGCCAGUGAAGCAGGCCUGCCUCGUUUGUGGGUGGGUUGACGGUAGCUGGAUAAGAAGCGCCGGCUAACUACGUG